rnacentral:piRNA from 1 species
UUCCAGAUUGGUGCUUACUGGCUUACUCCUC